CUAAGGCCUCCGCACGCAGAACCACACAUGACACAUCUCUUCGUCCCGUGUUACUUCACUCCUGCUAGAAAUGCCUUUGGACCAUGGUGGAGUGAUUCACAUUCCAGGCUGUCCCAAACCCCCCCCAGAACGCGAGGUCUCCUCUGCCCUGCCCUUGUACUGCCAGGCCACAGCACGCAACAGUCAACUGCACUUGAACAAGCUGUUUUUCUGCCUUUGAAGCUAUUAUUACAAAAAAUAUGAAACAAUGUGGCUGCUCUGAAAAUACACCAAUUAAUAUCAGCGUUUCAUUUCUUAAUGAGAACUAACUACAGCUACUGUCCUCUCAGACUGCUGAUGAACUGCAUCAUCUGCAUGGAAAAACAGAAACAACUAAACCCUUUUCCUACAUCUCAAGAACACCCUUCGCCUCGCAGAGAACACUUCAAAAAUAAAUGCAUGCUGUUAUCGGUGGUAUCUUUUCA
rnacentral:lncRNA from 1 species